GACGAACGCUGGCGGCGCGCCUAACACAUGCAAGUCGAACGAGCGAGAGAGAGCUUGCUUUCUCGAGCGAGUGGCGAACGGGUGAGUAACGCGUGAGGAACCUGCCUCAAAGAGGGGGACAACAGUUGGAAACGACUGCUAAUACCGCAUAAGCCCACGACCCGGCAUCGGGUAGAGGGAAAAGGAGCAAUCCGCUUUGAGAUGGCCUCGCGUCCGAUUAGCUAGUUGGUGAGGUAACGGCCCACCAAGGCGACGAUCGGUAGCCGGACUGAGAGGUUGAAGCGCAACUGGGGGACUGAGACACGGCCCAGACCCCGAGGGGGGGAGGCGGGGGGGAAUAUGGCAAAAGGGGGGAACCCCUGAGGCGGCGCGGCGGGGGGGAGAAAGAAGGUCUUGGGAUUGAAAACUCUUGUGGUAGAGGAAAAAAAUGAGGGUACUAAACAAGGAAGUGAGGGCUAACUACGUC
rnacentral:rRNA from 1 species